GUUCAUCUCGAUUUUUCUUAUUAUUUAAGUUCCUUCUGAUUAAGUUAAAUCGGGUGCUUUUAUUUUGGUAGUGUUGUAUGGCAGGAAGGAGUAUGGCGUCUGACAACAAAAAGUGUAGAGUGUAGGUAAAAAACGGAAAGUUUAGGAAAUAGAAAACGGACAAACCAUUUAAAAAUUCAGCACCUGGCUAAAAGGGGACAAGCUCUGAAUAGCACCUGCAGAUGUUCCCCUCCAGCAUGAAAAGUCCCUCGACCUCUUGUGGAAAUUACGCUUUUGGGCUGGAGCCUAUCUUGCUGUAUCUUGCUGUGUUCGUUGAAGAGCUUUUCAAAAAACACAGUUUACAAGUGCUCUUGACUGCCUGUGAGAAGAAAGCACUGCAAGCUAGCUAAAAGCUGCAAAAAAUAGAGAUGAACUGGUGAGUGGUUUAAGGAGGCACGAGCAGAGCAUGCUGGCUGAAGGCGAGAUCAUCAACACAGCAGGAAGCAAAUAAAAUCAGCCUGUGGAAGAGACUCUCCACCCCAGUCAGGGCGAGCCAAUCCCAUCAAUGAUGUCACAUGCGCACAGACGCACGCAGUGAAGGAGGAAAAAGUCCAACAGGAACAUUGUGGAGCGUAAUUUACGCACGAUUAUCUCCAAAGUGGAUUCUGCUUCUUGCCACGAAACAUUGGAAAUAUUCUCAUGAGUGUGAUGGAAAUUGUAUAUUUUACUGGUUUACAAUAUUUACUUGCAGACACUAGGCGUGUUAUUGCUAUGCAUACUUUAAUAUUAGCACAAUAAUUUUCACUGAAGUACACUUGGACGCAAUGGCUGCUGUCUUAAAUGUGCAUUGAUUUUAUCUUGUCAUAUUGCAUGGUUUGGAUCUCAUUUGUUUGAAUUUGUUUCCACUGUUUGCCUUAUUGUAAAGUAAAGAUGCCAUGCAAAUAAAGGUAUUGUGUAUUAUGCUCCCUUA